UUGCUCUUCAACGAGGAAUUCCUAGUAAGCGUGAGUCAUCAGCUCGCGUUGAUUACGUCCCUGCCCUUUGUACACACCGCCCGUCGCUACUACCGAUUGAAUGGCUUAGUGAGGUCUUGGGAUUGGCUUCGGGGAGCCGGCAACGGCACCCUGUUGCUGAAAACUUGAUCAAACUUGGUCAUUUAGAGGAAGUAAAAGUCGUAACAAGGUUUCCGUAGGUGAACCUGCGGAAGGAUCAUUAUCGAGUUUGAAAAGGGUUGUAGCUGGUCUUUCACGAGGCAUGUGCACACCCUACUCAUCCACUCAACACCUGUGCACACUAUGUAGGUUUAGACGAGCAUCGGGGCCCUCGUUGCCUCGGUAGGAGUCUGCCUAUGUCUUUAUAAACUCUGUUUAGUAUACGAAUGUACUUGCGAUAAAACGCAUCUUAUACAACUUUCAGCAACGGAUCUCUUGGCUCUCGCAUCGAUGAAGAACGCAGCGAAAUGCGAUAAGUAAUGUGAAUUGCAGAAUUCAGUGAAUCAUCGAAUCUUUGAACGCACCUUGCGCCCCUUGGUAUUCCGAGGGGCACACCCGUUUGAGUGUCGUGAAAUUCUCAACUCAACCACCUUUGCUGGUGUUUGGGCUUGGACUUGGGGGUUUGCUGGCUUCGGUCUGCUCCCCUUGAAUGCAUUAGCUCGAACCCUUGCGGAUCAGCUAUCGGUGUGAUAAUUGUCUACGCCGUGGUUGUGAUGCCACCUUCGGGUGUUGGAUCGGCUUCUAACUGUCCCCUAGGGACAAUUUCUUUGAAAUCUGACCUCAAAUCGGGUGGGACUACCCGCUGAACUUAAGCAUAUCAAUAAGCGGAGGA
rnacentral:rRNA from 1 species